CCAAUGGCCCUCUCUCUCUCUCUCCAUAUUUGGCGUCCUCUUCUCUUUCCGCUGUCUUCAUCCGAAGAAUCUGCAUCCUCUUCUCUGUUCUCCCACCCCAAACAAGCCUACCAAUCCCUAAAGAAUACGCCCACACCUAUCCCUAGUCGAAGGCUUGCCCCUCCUUCCCUUCUUCCCCUGACCACACUCAUCAUCAUUGUCCUCCUCAUCGUCCGAAAUGGUUCCCUCCACGAGAGAGACGGCAUAGGAGAUACAGUACCUGCCAUCUUUCUGUCGCCCUCGACGACAAGGAGGAGAGCUAGGGGAGACCGGGGUGGUGGAUGGUGUGGAUGCCAAGCGACGUCGCGUGCUGCAUGGGGCUGCCGCGGUCCCUGUCGCAGUCCACAGGUUCCCCUCUCAUCCCUGACGCCGGCGCCACCGUCGCCGCCGCCGCCGGCUCUUUCCCAUCAGCGGAUGGCGAUCUCAGCAUCCGCGUCUCCCCCCGCGGCCACAGACGCCACAACAGCUUCUCCUAUUUCCGCCUCCCCACCGACCCUCUCCUCCGCCUCUCCGUCCUCAAGUUGGACGGCUCCUCCUUCGAUGUGCAAAUCGCGAAGACCGCAUGCGUGGGGGAGCUAAAGGAAGCCAUCGAGGAACUCUUCAGUCAGCCUUCCAAAGACGGGAGUUGCAUCAUAUCUUGGUCUCAUGUAUGGGGUCACUUCUGCUUAAGUUACAACGAAUACACAUUGACGAAUGAUAAGGCUUGUCUGAGAAAUUUCGGAAUCAAAGAUGGAGAUCAGCUUCAUUUUAUUAGACAUCUUUCUCUCAACCACGGGCCAAGCGAAGGAAGUUUGAAAAAUCAUGGGACUGAUUCAAUACAACAGAGAAAGUCAUUGACAGGGUCAAAAGUUCAUAAUGAAGUUGCAGUGAAAGACAAGAACAGGGAUCAUGAGGGAGUUGCUUCUAGCCAAUUUGUAGACGAACAAAAUGAUGAUGAUGAUGAUGAUGAUGAUAACCAGAUUGGACGGAUGGAAUUCAAGUUGCGUCGUCUAUUUCGUGGAUUAUUUCCCUAUGCCAAACUUGGGACAUCUCAGGACGAUGAGUAUUCCAAAGCUAGCUGAAUCACCCAAAGUCGAGCACAGAUGACAUGAAACUAUUCCAGUAAAUUCUCAAUGGAAAUAAUUUUGAUAUAUGGGGAAACAUAUCUUUCGAUCAUCCCUAGCAGACACUGUCUUGACAGUCGGAGACAUUAAGAGACUUGGCAUAAAUGUGUCCAGACAGUCAGCUGCCCUGCAGACAAUUUAUGCAUAGAAACCAUCAGCACAGAACUGAAGGAAAUUGUUAGCAGUGCACUAAACAACAAAAGAUGUUGAAUGCCUAAAUUGAAAACAAACCUACUAUUUCCUUGUUGGAAAUAUUUUAUUUUCCUAGUGAGCUGAAAAUUUCUGAUCCUUAAAGUUCAAGUAGAAGACCAUAAUUUUAGGAGAACCAUUGGAAUUUAUUUCUCAUAAUGAUUU